rnacentral:rRNA from 1 species
UACGAAGGGGGCUAGCGUUGCUCGGAAUCACUGGGCGUAAAGCGCACGUAGGCGGAUUGUUAAGUCAGGGGUGAAAUCCUGGAGCUCAACUCCAGAACUGCCUUUGAUACUGGCAACCUAGAGACUGAAGAGGUUAGUGGAAUUCCCAGUGUAGAGGUGAAAUUCGUAGAUAUUGGGAAGAACACCAGUGGCGAAGGACGG